ensembl:snoRNA SNORA73 Small nucleolar RNA SNORA73 family
CCGACGCGGAUACCCUGGGGUCGUUUUUCCGGGCUCUGUUCGGGUGGUGACAGGAGCGCAGGUCUCUGCCCCAUGACGUACAGUCCCUUUCCACAGUGUCGGAAAUGAAGCCGGGGCCCUGAGUCCGCGCCUGCAUAAUCCUACUGCUUCUCAGAGUCCCUCAGACCGUGACUGAGGAGACAUGCAGGAAACAGUU